CCAUAGGCUUUCUUCAAGGCCAUGCAAUACUUCUUUGAAAGUAUUUU
rfam:Rattus norvegicus chromosome 16, whole genome shotgun sequence.